UCUCUUUUCUCUCUCUCUCUCUCUCUCUCUCUCUCUCUCUCUCUCUCUCUCUUUCUCUCUCUUAAUAUUGCAAACAGCAAACUUUGAAUUUGAUUUCCAGGACCCGCCCCAUGGAAGAAAACAAAACAAAAACAGCCUGGAGGGGUUUUGUACAUCCUGGGAGGAAAUGAAACUGCAGAACAGUUAGAGUCACUGUUUAACCUCAGAAUUAAGACAGCUGUUUGUUUACUACGUAAAGCAGGCACAUGCCGAAAGGACGCUUCCUUUCUUUGGACCUUUACUCAGCAGCACUGAAUAGUUUAGCUCAACUGCCGACACUGUGGAUAUGUGGAUGGAAAGUCCAAUCAAAAAGACGGAUAAACGCACCGGAAGUUUAUUUGGUUUUUGACUGGAAUUUCUAUUCUGUUCGGAACCCCCUUCCCAGAAUUUUAAGGAUCUCUACAACUUUGAACAAAGGGAAGUGCCCAAGAGGUACUGACCUGACUCAUUCAUUUAACUCUUUGGGCUUGUUAGGCAUUUCCAAAGUAUGAGACUAACAGAUUCCUGUGAAGUUCUGUGUGUGUGUGUGCGUGUGCGUGUGCGUGUGUGUGUGUGUGUUCCAGCCACUAGAAACAUGUUUUCAGUGCUGCUGAAACUAACAAAAAAAAAUUUCCUAAAUGCAUCUGAGAGAUAAGCUUCUGCGGCAUCACAAGAAGAUUAAAGUGGCAGACAUUCCUUCCAGCGGAAGUUACUAAUUCCAAACCGGCUGAUGUAGUUUCCAUAGCAACCCAGGUUUCCUAGGAAACCCGAAAAAGGUUGUCAUGGCAUCUCUUGCUCUCUGUCCCUGCCCCCCUAGCCCCUGCCGUUUCCACAGUAACCUUUCCAGAUGGUUCCUACUUACAUGAUUUCAUAAGGAAAACCACUGUUUGAAUAAACCGCACAAAUGAAGGGAAGUCUGAAAUUCCAAGGUGGUGAAAUGACUCACAAAAUGCAUAUUUUUUUAACUACAAAAAAGAAAAGCAUUGAUAGCACCCUAUAAUGACUGAAUCGAGAAGGAAAAUGCCAUCUUUGGGAUUCUAGGUAUACACCACCAUCAGGCGUGACUUGAAUUAAAUGUGAGCAAUUAGGCAAUAAUUUCAAAAGAUGCUUCUCUACUGUUUUCUUUCACCAAGAACUUUCCGGGCAACCAAUGAAAUAAAAAAAAGCAAAUAUAAAGGUGUUCUGUACAUAACCAAAGGAAAGAUUCCAUUGGUGUAUCUGAAACCUUGCUACAAGGGACCUUCAGAUGUCCUCUUGUUCACAACAGAAAAACACAGAUUCUACCACACACCGUCACCAUCACGGCACUUGAAAAGCUAAAUAAAAUCGCAAAUUAUGAAGGACCCGUGUUUGUAACUGAGGGAAUCGCAGACAAUCCAUAGAAAGGAGGGACGGGAAGUAACCAGAUCUUGGGGAGAUGCCUUCAAGUUUCAGCCAUGUGCCAGGGUUGCCGGAAGACAGACAGACUCAGAUACCUGAAGAGCCCACAUAAAGAGCCGUCGAGCCAUACUGACCAGUAGGCUGCUCGUGUCUUUCCCUGUCUAGCUCAAGAAUGCAGUGUUGGGUCUGUCCCUGAUGGGCGAUGAGCUGCCUGCCAGCCGUUGACGUCUGCUUUAGUUGACGUUAAGUAACAUGUCUCCAACAAAUGCAUUCUGUAAGGGAAAUAGCUCUGAGGAUCUUCUUCAAAGUGUAUGCAAUACGAAAGAUAUUCAUCAAGAAAGAAAGAAGAAUGUCAACAAUAUUAGGGUAUCAUUUCAACCUUUUGACGUGUUGAUGAAAUCCAGUGAUCCAAAAACUAAGCAGUAUUGCUGAUAAAGAGAACCUAAAUGUUUGUUUCCAACAAGCCAACUGUGACUGUGUUUCUGCUUUCAGCUGAUCACCGGGCUGUGUUUAAUCACCAGAUACAUUAACGUGAUCUUCUGUGUUCUGGCUUUCGUGCAACUUUAUUGAUGACUGUGUUUUGUACCAAAGGCUCUCGUGCAUAGAUUAGCCCAUCUCCACGUGA